rnacentral:rRNA from 1 species
UACGUAGGGGCGAGCGUUGUCCGGAAUUAUUGGGCGUAAAGGGUUCGUAGGCGGUAAUACAUGUCAGAUGUGAAAUCUUGUGGCUUAACCACAUCAAGCAUCUGAAACUGUAUAACUUGAGUGGAGGAGAGGUAAGUGGAAUUCCUAGUGUAGCGGUGAAAUGCGUAGAUAUUAGGAAGAAUACCAGUAGCGAAGGCGACUUACUGGCCUCUAACUGACGCUGAUGAACGAAAGCGUGGGUAGCAAACAGGAUUAGAUACCCCCGUAGUCCCU